rnacentral:rRNA from 1 species
GACGAACGCUGGCGGCGUGCCUAAUACAUGCAAGUUGAGCGAUGAAGAUUGGUGCUUGCACCAAUUUGAAGAGCAGCGAACGGGUGAGUAACGCGUGGGGAAUCUGCCUUUAAGCGGGGGACAACAUUUGGAAACGAAUGCUAAUACCGCAUAACAACUUUAAACAUAAGUUUUAAGUUUGAAAGAUGCAAUUGCAUCACUCAAAGAUGAUCCCGCGUUGUAUUAGCUAGUUGGUGAGGUAAAGGCUCACCAAGGCGAUGAUACAUAGCCGACCUGAGAGGGUGAUCGGCCACAUUGGGACUGAGACACGGCCCAAACUCCUACGGGAGGCAGCAGUAGGGAAUCUUCGGCAAUGGACGAAAGUCUGACCGAGCAACGCCGCGUGAGUGAAGAAGGUUUUCGGAUCGUAAAACUCUGUUGGUAGAGAAGAACGUUGGUGAGAGUGGAAAGCUCAUCAAGUGACGGUAACUACCCAGAAAGGGACGGCUAACUACGUG